rnacentral:rRNA from 1 species
UACGUAGGGUGCGAGCGUUAAUCGGAAUUACUGGGCGUAAAGCGUGCGCAGGCGGUUUUGUAAGCCGGAUGUGAAAGCCCCGGGCUCAACCUGGGAAUGGCCGUUGAAACUGGCGAACUGGAGUGUGGCAGAGGGGGGUGGAAUUCCGCGUGUAGCAGUGAAAUGCGCAGAUAUCAGGAGGAACACCGGUGGCGAAGGCGGGUCUCUGGGCAACAACUGACGCUGAGGAGCGAAAGCGUGGGGAGCGAACAGG